AUAAAUAAAUAAAUUGAAAUGAUACACAGAUUAGCAUGACCCUUGCACAAAGAUGGCACAUAAAUUUGUGAAAUUUAAGUGUUCCAUAUUUUA
rnacentral:snRNA from 1 species